ACUAAACAUUUUUUUUUCUUUUUUUUUUUAGUUUCUUCAUCUUCUCUCACGUCUCUUCCUCUCCUACUCUCUUUCUCUCCACUGUGAAAAAGCUAUCUUCUACUCUUCCAUUCUUUCUCUUUUCUUUUACAGAUCUAGUCGCCUUUGCACGGAACGGAGAUUCAAUCGACCAGUACACGUGAAGCUGUGUCCCCUUUGCGCUUUUGCAGAGCAUGGCAAACUCGAUUUCGAGUUUGUUUAAGAUGGAUAUGAGUCCUUCUCUGUGCCAGACUGAGUGGUUGCGAGCAGAGAUGCUGGUCCGUGGUCGUGAGCAGCCAUGAAAUAUUCUGAUUUCAAGAAAGACGAGACGGAGUUCCAGUAGAUCUGGAAGAAGCUGGAGGAGAUGAGGCUUCAUGUGGAAGACGACGUCCACAUGGAGAUGAUGAUGAAACACGACCAUGUCCAACGGCGAUGGAAGGAGGUGGAGGACUACCGGUACGGUGGUUGAAGACUUUGACGGUGGAAAAAAAGAUGAAGCUAUGGCGGCUGAGUUUCUUUUUAUUUUAGGUUUAGUGUUUUUUAGGUUUUUUUUUGGUUUUGCAAACCAAAUUGUAGAAAUUGUGGUUGGUUACUUUAUUUUUUAAUUUCUGGUUUAUUUUUGUAGACCGGAAUUUAUUUACAUAAAACAAUUUCAGUUUCAA